rnacentral:rRNA from 1 species
CUCGAGGACGAACGCUGGCGGCGUGCUUAACACAUACAAGUCGAACGGUAAGGCCCUUCGGGGUACACGAGUGGCGAACGGGUGAGUAACACGUGGGUGAUCUGCCCUGCACUUCGGGAUAAGCCUGGGAAACUGGGUCUAAUACCGGAUAGGACUCCUGGCUUCAUGGUUGGGGGUGUAAAGCUUUUGCGGUGUGGGAUGGGCCCGCGGCCUAUCAGCUUGUUGGUGGGGUAAUGGCCUACCAAGGCGACGACGGGUAGCCGGCCUGAGAGGGUGACCGGCCACACUGGGACUGAGAUACGGCCCAGACUCCUACGGGAGGCAGCAGUGGGGAAUAUUGCACAAUGGGCGCAAGCCUGAUGCAGCGACACCGCGUGAGGGAUGACGGCCUUCGGGUUGUAAACCUCUUUCAAUAGGGACGAAGCGCAAGUGACGGUACCUAUAGAAGAAGGACCGGCCAACUACGUG